rnacentral:tRNA from 1 species
ACUUUUAAAGGAUGAAAGUAAUCCACUGGUCUUAGGAGCCAAAAACCUUGGUGCAACUCCAAGUAAAAGUA